AGGUUGAUAGCUUACUAGGUAAAGCACGUUGCUCAUAACGACGGGGACGGGGGUUCGAUUCCACCUCAAUCUU
rnacentral:tRNA from 1 species